CGCAAGCCUGACGGAGCAACGCCGCGUGCGGGAAGAAGGCUCUUGGGCUGUCAACCACUUUUCUCAGGGAAGAAGCCCUGACGGUACCUGAGGAAUCAGCCUCGGCUAACUCCGUGCCAGCAGCCGCGGUAAUACGGAGGAGGCAAGCGUUAUCCGGAAUUAUUGGGCGUAAAGCGUCCGCAGGGGGCACAUCAAGUCUGCUGUUAAAGGCUGGAGCUUAACUCCGGUAGAGCAGUGGAAACUGGUGUGCUAGAGGGCGACAGGGGUAGAGGGAAUUCCCAGUGUAGCGGUGAAAUGCGUAGAGAUUGGGAAGAACACCGGUGGCGAAAGCGCUCUACUGGGUCGCACCUGACCCUCAGGGACGAAAGCUAAGGUAGCG
rnacentral:rRNA from 1 species